rnacentral:rRNA from 1 species
GACGAACGCUGGCGGCGUGCCUAAUACAUGCAAGUUGAGCGCUGAAGGUUGGUACUUGUACCGACUGGAUGAGCAGCGAACGGGUGAGUAACGCGUGGGGAAUCUGCCUUUGAGCGGGGGACAACAUUUGGAAACGAAUGCUAAUACCACAUAAAAACUUUAAACACAAGUUUUAAGUUUGAAAGAUGCAAUUGCAUCACUCAAAGAUGAUCCCGCGUUGUAUUAGCUAGUUGGUGAGGUAAAGGCUCACCAGGGCGAUGAUACAUAGCCGACCUGAGAGGGUGAUCGGCCACAUUGGGACUGAGACACGGCCCAAACUCCUACGAGAGGCAGCAGUAGGGAAUCUUCGGCAAUGGACGAAAGUCUGACCGAGCAACGCCGCGUGAGUGAAGAAGGUUUUCGGAUCGUAAAACUCUGUUGGUAGAGAAGAACGUUGGUGAGAGUGGAAAGCUCAUCAAGUGACGGUAACUACCCAGAAAGGGACGGCUAACUACGUGCCAGCCGCCGCCGUAA